UACGAAGGGGGCUAGCGUUGUUCGGAUUUACUGGGCGUAAAGCGCACGUAGGCGGAUCUUUAAGUCAGAGGUGAAAUCCCAAGGCUCAACCUUGGAACUGCCUUUGAUACUGGGGAUCUUGAGUCCGGGAGAGGUGAGUGGAACUGCGAGUGUAGAGGUGAAAUUCGUAGAUAUCAGGAGGAACACCGGUGGUGUAAACGGCUUUCUGGGACCAUAACUGACGCUGAGGCACGAAAGCGUGGGUAGCAAACAGG
rnacentral:rRNA from 1 species